rnacentral:rRNA from 1 species
CGGGACACGUGGUAUCCUGUCUGAAUAUGGGGGGACCAUCCUCCAAGGCUAAAUACUCCUGACUGACCGAUAGUGAACCAGUACCGUGAGGGAAAGGCGAAAAGAACCCCGGCGAGGGGAGUGAAAAAGAACCUGAAACCGUGUACGUACAAGCAGUGGGAGCACGCUUAGGCGUGUGACUGCGUACCUUUUGUAUAAUGGGUCAGCGACUUAUAUUCUGUAGCAAGGUUAACCGAAUAGGGGAGCCGAAGGGAAACCGAGUCUUAACUGGGCGUUAAGUUGCAGGGUAUAGACCCGAAACCCGGUGAUCUAGCCAUGGGCAGGUUGAAGGUUGGGUAACACUAACUGGAGGACCGAACCGACUAAUGUUGAAAAAUUAGCGGAUGACUUGUGGCUGGGGGUGAAAGGCCAAUCAAACCGGGAGAUAGCUGGUUCUCCCCGAAAGCUAUUUAGGUAGCGCCUCGUGAAUUCAUCUCCGGGGGUAGAGCACUGUUUCGGCAAGGGGGUCAUCCCGACUUACCAACCCGAUGCAAACUGCGAAUACCGGAGAAUGUUAUCACGGGAGACACACGGCGGGUGCUAACGUCCGUCGUGAAGAGGGAAACAACCCAGACCGCCAGCUAAGGUCCCAAAGUCAUGGUUAAGUGGGAAACGAUGUGGGAAGGCCCAGACAGCCAGGAUGUUGGCUUAGAAGCAGCCAUCAUUUAAAGAAAGCGUAAUAGCUCACUGGUCGAGUCGGCCUGCGCGGAAGAUGUAACGGGGCUAAACCAUGCACCGAAGCUGCGGCAGCGACGCUGAUGCGUUGUUGGGUAGGGGAGCGUUCUGUAAGCCUGUGAAGGUGUGCUGUGAGGCAUGCUGGAGGUAUCAGAAGUGCGAAUGCUGACAUAAGUAACGAUAAAGCGGGUGAAAAGCCCGCUCGCCGGAAGACCAAGGGUUCCUGUCCAACGUUAAUCGGGGCAGGGUGAGUCGACCCCUAAGGCGAGGCCGAAAGGCGUAGUCGAUGGGAAACAGGUUAAUAUUCCUGUACUUGGUGUUACUGCGAAGGGGGGACGGAGAAGGCUAUGUUGGCCGGGCGACGGUUGUCCCGGUUUAAGCGUGUAGGCUGGUUUUCCAGGCAAAUCCGGAAAAUCAAGGCUGAGGCGUGAUGACGAGGCACUACGGUGCUGAAGCAACAAAUGCCCUGCUUCCAGGAAAAGCCUCUAAGCAUCAGGUAACAUCAAAUCGUACCCCAAACCGACACAGGUGGUCAGGUAGAGAAUACCAAGGCGCUUGAGAGAACUCGGGUGAAGGAACUAGGCAAAAUGGUGCCGUAACUUCGGGAGAAGGCACGCUGAUAUGUAGGUGAAGCGACUUGCUCGUGGAGCUGAAAUCAGUCGAAGAUACCAGCUGGCUGCAACUGUUUAUUAAAAACACAGCACUGUGCAAACACGAAAGUGGACGUAUACGGUGUGACGCCUGCCCGGUGCCGGAAGGUUAAUUGAUGGGGUCAGCGCAAGCGAAGCUCUUGAUCGAAGCCCCGGUAAACGGCGGCCGUAACUAUAACGGUCCUAAGGUAGCGAAAUUCCUUGUCGGGUAAGUUCCGACCUGCACGAAUGGCGUAAUGAUGGCCAGGCUGUCUCCACCCGAGACUCAGUGAAAUUGAACUCGCUGUGAAGAUGCAGUGUACCCGCGGCAAGACGGAAAGACCCCGUGAACCUUUACUAUAGCUUGACACUGAACAUUGAGCCUUGAUGUGUAGGAUAGGUGGGAGGCUUUGAAGUGUGGACGCCAGUCUGCAUGGAGCCGGCCUUGAAAUACCACCCUUUAAUGUUUGAUGUUCUAACGUUGACCCGUGAUCCGGGUUGCGGACAGUGUCUGGUGGGUAGUUUGACUGGGGCGGUCUCCUCCUAAAGAGUAACGGAGGAGCACGAAGGUUGGCUAAUCCUGGUCGGACAUCAGGAGGUUAGUGCAAUGGCAUAAGCCAGCUUGACUGCGAGCGUGACGGCGCGAGCAGGUGCGAAAGCAGGUCAUAGUGAUCCGGUGGUUCUGAAUGGAAGGGCCAUCGCUCAACGGAUAAAAGGUACUCCGGGGAUAACAGGCUGAUACCGCCCAAGAGUUCAUAUCGACGGCGGUGUUUGGCACCUCGAUGUCGGCUCAUCACAUCCUGGGGCUGAAGUAGGUCCCAAGGGUAUGGCUGUUCGCCAUUUAAAG